rnacentral:rRNA from 1 species
GAUGAACGCUGGCGGCGUGCUUAACACAUGCAAGUCGAACGAAGCACUUUAUUUGAUUUCCUUCGGGACUGAUUAUUUUGUGACUGAGUGGCGGACGGGUGAGUAACGCGUGGGUAACCUGCCUUGUACAGGGGGAUAACAGUUGGAAACGGCUGCUAAUACCGCAUAAGCGCACGGCAUCGCAUGAUGCAGUGUGAAAAACUCCGGUGGUAUAAGAUGGACCCGCGUUGGAUUAGCUAGUUGGUGAGGUAACGGCCCACCAAGGCGACGAUCCAUAGCCGAGCUGAGAGGGUGACCGGCCACAUUGGGACUGAGACACGGCCCAGACUCCUACGGGAGGCAGCAGUGGGGAAUAUUGCACAAUGGGCGAAAGCCUGAUGCAGCGACGCCGCGUGAGCGAAGAAGUAUUUCGGUAUGUAAAGCUCUAUUAGCAGGGAAGAUAAUGACGGUACCUGACUAAGAAGCACCGGCUAAAUACGUG